GACGAACGCUGGCGGCGUGCUUAACACAUGCAAGUCGAACGGAAAGGCCCUGCUUUUGUGGGGUGCUCGAGUGGCGAACGGGUGAGUAACACGUGAGUAACCUGCCCUUGACUUUGGGAUAACUUCAGGAAACUGGGGCUCAUACCGGAUAGGAGCUCCUGCUGCAUGGUGGGGGUUGGAAAGUUUCGGCGGUUGGGGAUGGACUCGCGGCUUAUCAGCUUGUUGGUGGGGUAGUGGCUUACCAAGGCUUUGACGGGUAGCCGGCCUGAGAGGGGGACCGGGCACAUUGGGACUGAGAUACGGCCCAGACGGCUACGGUCGGCAGAGGUGGGGAAUAUUGCACAAUGGGGGGAAGCCUGAUGCAGCAACGCCGCGUGCGUGAUGACGGCCUUCGGGUUGUAAACCUCUUUCGCCUGUGACGAAGCGUGAGUGACGGUAAUGGGUAAAAAAGCACCGGCUAACUACGUG
rnacentral:rRNA from 1 species